ACUCAUCCCUGCAGCUCCCAGACCGCGUGCUGAACUUCCUCAAGGACCACUUCCUGAUGGACGGGCAGGUCCGAAGCCGCAUGCUGCUGCUGCAGCCCCAGGCUCGCUACCAGCGCGUGGCUGUACACCGCGUCCCUGGCCUGCACCACACCUACGAUGUCCUCUUCCUGGGCACUGGUGACGGCCGGCUCCACAAGGCGGUGAGCGUGGGCCCCCGGGUGCACAUCAUUGAGGAGCUGCAGAUCUUCUCAUCGGGACAGCCCGUGCAGAAUCUGCUCCUGGACACCCACAGGGUGAGCAGGCCAACGAGGAAUCCUGGCAGGGUACUUGGGGGUGCCCUCCAUUAGCACCAAGCAGUCCCCACCCAGCUUCUCCUCCCUUGCCUCAGGAGGAUGGAAAGAUAAAGGAUCCAGUCAUGAGCUAUUAGAAAGUGGGGUCGCCGGUUACAUAACAGGCCUCUUGGGGGUGGCUCUGGGAGGCAUACAAGCCGGGUGGCCAUGGGU
rnacentral:sRNA from 1 species